GUGUCAGCCGCCGCGGUAAGACGUAGGGCGCGAGCGUUGUCCGGAUUUAUUGGGCGUAAAGAGCUCGUAGGCGGCUUGUCGCGUCGAAUGUGAAAUCUCGGGGCUCAACUCCGAGCUUGCAUUCGAUACGGGCAGGCUAGAGUUCGGUAGGGGAGACUGGAAUUCCUGGUGUAGCGGUGAAAUGCGCAGAUAUCAGGAGGAACACCGGUGGCGAAGGCGGGUCUCUGGGCCGAUACUGACGCUGAGGAGCGAAAGCGUGGGGAGCGAACAGGAUUAGAUACCCCGGUAGUCC
rnacentral:rRNA from 1 species